rnacentral:piRNA from 1 species
UAGAAAGUCCACAGAAACUUGUGUC